AGCAGCCGUGCAUCAAGAAAGAAAAAGAACCAAAAAGCUCUUCCAAUUUCUUCUUCAUUUCUUCAUCAAAUCUUCCACCAAAUCACACCAAAAUUUAACCACACUUAGCUAAACACUUAGAGAUCAUUUUAAGCUGCAAAAAGGGGGAGCUUUUCACGGUUUUUCUUGGCCAAGAGGGGACCAAAAAAUUCUGUCUUUGUUCAUCACACAAGUAGGAAUGGAGGAAGUGAAUUUCGGAGGAACCCCUUUUGAUGUAUUUUGGUAUUAGGGUUUCAAAUGUUUUGGCUGGACUUGUGAUUGUUGUAUAGUUUGGGGAACUGAUGUAUCUUUUGGGAACUUGAUGUAAGGAUUGGCUAACUGAUGUAUUUUGAACUCGUGGUGUGAGCCUUGGAUGGUUGAUUAUGGAAGCGACUUUUCUUUA